AGUCGUAACAAGGUUUCCGUAGGUGAACCUGCGGAAGGAUCAUUGUCGAUGCCUUACAUGCAGUCCAACACGUGAAUCAGUUUGAAUACAUAUGGUUGGCUUGAGGUGUUCUACACCUCGGCUUACCUCUGGUUCAGAGGAAGACGACAUAGUGCGUCCUCCUUCGUGCCAAAACUCAAACCCCGGCGCUGAAUGCGUCAAGGAAUUUAAAUUUUGCUCUGAGCACACCUGCAUGGCACCGGAGACGGUUUUCGUGCGUGUUGUGUUUUGACACAUGAUAUAGAAUGACUCUCGGCAACGGAUAUCUAGGCUCUU
rnacentral:misc_RNA from 1 species